GACGAACGCUGGCGGCGUGCUUAACACAUGCAAGUCGAACGGAAAGGCCCUGCUGUUGUGGGAUGCUCGAGUGGCGAACGAGUGAGUAACACGUGAGUAACCUGCCCUUGACUUUGGGAUAACUUCAGGAAACUGGGGCUAAUACCGGAUAGGAGCGCCUGCUGCAGGGUGGGGGUUGGAAAGUUUCGGCGGUUGGGGAUGGACUCGCGGCUUAUCAGCUUGUUGGUGGGGUAGUGGCUUACCAAGGCUUUGACGGGUAGCCGGCCUGAGAGGGUGACCGGCCACAUUGGGACUGAGAUACGGCCCAGACUCCUACGGGAGGCAGCAGUGGGGAAUAUUGCACAAUGGGCGGAAGCCUGAUGCAGCAACGCCGCGUGCGGGAUGACGGCCUUCGGGUUGUAACCCGCUUUCGCCUGUGACGAAGCGUGAGUGACGGUAAUGGGUAAAGAAGCACCGGCUAACUACGUG
rnacentral:rRNA from 1 species